AUGAGAGGACUCAUUUGGAACUGUCAGGGGGUAGGCAAGAAAGGAAUGGCCACCUGCCUCUCAGACAUGAUUAGUGACCAUUCCCUGGAUUUCUUGGGUCUUCAAGAAACUAUGAAAAAAGAAUUCACUCCUAAAUGCUUAAGAAGAAUUGACCCCUUUGGCAUCUUUUAGUGGAAUUGGGUGCCUUCUGUGGGAAAAUCUGGGGACAUACUGUGUGGUGUGAGGAGAGAUACCCUAGAUGUAGUUUCCUCUUCUAAGGGCAAAUAUGUGCUUCAAAUGGUGCUCCAUGACAAAAAUAAAGAUAUGCACAUGAUGAAUUCAAAGAUGAAUUCCUGA
rnacentral:rRNA from 1 species